CCCACUCUGCCAUGACGUCAAAACAACCGACGCACUGUCAAAAAAACAAGCUGCCGGCAGAAAAACAAAACAAACAAAAAAAAAACAAGCAGCCAGAGGAAAGAUGGCGGCGAUGGACAGCAGCGGCCGUUAAUCUCAGUAACUGGCAGCCCUCGGUGUAACCAAUGAUUUGCAGCGAACACUUUUUACUAGUAGUCGACUUUUGCAGCUGGAAUACAGCAUCCGCUCCUUAAUGCUGCAACUGUAUCCUGGCAUGGAGUAUAUGAACACUGCAGAGAGCGGAGAGCAUCAAAACGGAGUGAAGCUGCACAACAGAAAGAAAACCUCCAGACCUGGCCAGCGUCUCCCAGAACCAUCUGUGAGAACGAGCUGCUGUCUGAUGAAAGCUGUGACUCCAGAAAGUCUGUUUGGAACCAAAACAGCAGCAACAACAGGACACAAGUGCAACACGGAGGUGGCAGCAGCAUACUGUGGGAUUACUUUACAUCAGAUUCUGUCGAGGGGAAGUCAGCUUUUACCCAUAACCUUCUGCUAUACUGCAAAAAUACAAAAUAUUACAAAUUGUUUAGUUUUUGGAGCAAAUGUCUUAGUUCUCUUGAAAUAAGUUAAUUUAACUUACAAGUAAGUUUUCAGCGAGAUGUAGGAGCUUGUUUUGAGCCAAUAAUUUCUUAAUAUUGAUGAAAAAGUACUAAUUUUACUUUCAAACUAUCUCACUUAUAAAAUGGGAAAAAUUUCUCGGUUUAAGUGAAAUAAUUUAUCAAUGUAACUAGAAGUUUUUUUAUCUAUAUUAAGGCAUUAUUUACUUAAGUCAAGUUUCUAAAUCUCAGAGUUCUAGUUACUUAACAGAUUAUUUUACCUAUACCAAGACACUUACAUUUUUUUAUAUCAAACCUUUACAUCAAUAUUAAGUAAAACAAGCUUCUGUAUCUUGCUGAAAAGUUACUUCUGAGUUA